ensembl:lncRNA
CUGACAGAAGGUUAGAGGGAUAAUGUCCUGACAGAAGGUUAGAGGGAUAAUGUCCCGACAGAAGGAUGGAGGGAUAAUGUCCUGACAGAAGGAUGGAGGGGUAAUGUCCUGACAGAAGGAUGGAGGGGUAAUGUCCUGACAGAAGGUUAGAGGGAUAAUGUCCUGACAGAAGGUUAGAGGGAUAAUGUCCUGACAGAAGGAUGGAGGGGUAAUGUCCUGACAGAAGGUUAGAGGGAUAAUGUCCUUACAAAAGGAUGGAGGGCUAAUGUCCUGACAGAAGAUGGAUGGAUAAUGUCCUGACAGAGGAUGGAGGGAUAAUGCCAUGACAGAGGAUGGAGGGAUAAUGCCCUGACAGAGGAUGGAGGGAUAAUGUCCUGACAGAAGGAUGGGGGAUAAUGUCCUGACAGAAGGAUGGGGGAUAAUGUCCUGACGGAAGGAUGGGGGGAUAAUGUCCUGACAGAAGGAUGGGGGGAUAAUGUCCUGACGGAAGGAUGGAGGGAUAAUGUCCUGACGGAAGGAUGGAGGGAUAAUAUCCUGACGGAAGGAUGGAGGGAUAAUGUCCCGACAGAGGGUUAGAGGGCUAAUGUCCUGACAGAAGGAUGGAAGGAGAAUGUCCUGACAGAAGGUUAGAGGGAUAAUGUCCUCAGAGAACGAUGGAGGGAUAAUGUCCUGACAGAGGAUGGAGGGAUAAUGUCCUGACAGAGGAUGGAGGAAUAAUGUCCUGGCAGAGGAUGUAGGGAUAAUGUUCUGACAGAAGGAUGGAGGGAUAAUGUCCUGACAGAAGGUUAGAGGGAUAAUGUCCUGACAGAAGGUUAGAGGGAUAAUGUCCAGACAGAAGGUUAGAGGGAUAAUGUCCUGACAGAAGGUUAGAGGGAUAAUGUCCUGACAGAAGGUUAGAGGGAUAAUGUCCUGACAGAAGGUUAGAGGGAUAAUGUCCUGACAGAAGGUUAGAGGGAUAAUGUCCUGACAGAAGGUUAGAGGGAUAAUGUCCUGACAGAAGGAUAGAUGGAUAAUGUCCUGACAGAAGGUUAGAGGGAUGUCCUGACAGAAGGAUGGAGGGAUAAUGUCCUGACAGAAGGUUAGAGGGAUAAUGUCCUGACAGGAAAAAGCUGGUUGUGAUUUCAUAAAUAGAAAAGCAGUGGUAUAUUAUUUAGUUGUAUCAUUUUGAGAGGAGCCCCAGGAUUCACACAUCAAUAACAGAGCACAGUAACAAUUAACCUGUCCAACAUACAGUCAGCC